CUUAGGCCGGGGCUUGGGCUGGGGGUCCCGGGGCGGGGCCGGGCCGAGGGGGCCGAAGUGCGCUGCAACUCUGAGCCCCGCCCCAGAGCUGCAAAUCUAGAGUGGCGGAGGGAGCGUGCGCACACGCCCCACAGACCCUGAGUUUGGGAUGCGGAAGGUUUGGGUGCCCUCCCGGCCCCACCCGGUGCACGAGCUCACGCCGGCGGCGGACCCGGAACUGGUGCCUACAGCCGGCCAAGUGCGGGCAGGCCCUGCGCCGAGAGCGCCCAGCGAGCGGAACCUGACUUGGAGUCCCAGCGCUGCUGCUUUCUCCAGAGGGACUUGGAGCACGUCACUCCACCUGAGCUGGGUCUGAUCCUCAGAAUUCAAGAGCUUCAGGCUACCUUUUUUAUUGAGUACCUGCUGAGUACCAGGCACGAAAAGAUGACAGGUGACUUAAAGAUCCCUGCCUUGGUCGCUACCAGGAUAGUUGUGAGGAUGACAAAGCAGCAUUACCUUGGUGAAUACAAGUCGAAGGAGCUCUACACCAUCAUUGCUUGAAGGUUCUGCAGGUAUCUGAAGUUUGGACAAAGAUCACAUAGCUGCUUCAGCAGAGAGCCAGAAUUUGGAUGGAGAACUCUCUUGAAGAAAUCUCCAGGGAACGAGUGGGGAAGACCAGGGAGUCAUAAUAACAAAUUACAACUGUCCAGGGCUUCAUAGUUUGCAAAGCCGAGAGGGGCACUGAGAUGACCGUGCACCUUCACCUCUCAGAGCCCUGAUCCCCUCCUUGAGGAAUGGGAAUUGUGAUACCUAUCUUUGGGGACUGUUGAGGUGAUUGGAUAAGAUAAUGCCUG
rnacentral:lncRNA from 1 species